UCUCUCUCUCUCUCUCUCUCUGCAAAUGUCUGCACUCCAUGUCCACACUCUUUACCACAAGACAACAACUCUCUCAUCCAUCUUUAAAACACAAGCUUCAUCAUCAUCUCGCUUUUCUUUUCCUCUCUCUUCCUUGAAAACCCAUCAAGAGAAUUCUCUCUUUUCUGCCACCAACACCACCCAGAAGAGACCCUUUUCUCUCUCUACUCGGCCAAGAAGACUGCUUUGCAGACCUCCUCAGGGAAAAUAUGUUAGAGAAGACUACCUUGUGAAAAAGAAGUCUGCACAGGAGAUACAGGAGUUGGUAAGGGGAGAAAGAAAUGUGCCCCUCAUCAUUGAUUUUUAUGCAACGUGGUGUGGACCAUGUAUUUUGAUGGCCCAAGAACUUGAAAUGCUUGCUGUGGAGUAUGAGAAAAAUGCAAUGAUAGUUAAGGUUGACACUGAUGAUGAGUAUGAAUUUGCACAUGACAUGCAGGUUCGAGGUUUGCCAACACUGUUUUUCAUCAGUCCGGAUCCUAAAAAGGAUGCAAUCCGGGCUGAAGGGCUCAUCCCAAUACAGAUGAUGCGUGAUAUCAUUGAUAAGGAGAUGUGAAGGACCAAUAUGAGGGCACAUCCCAAUACAACAAGAGAUUGAUCCGCUGAUGAAUCAAAUGAGGUCCUAGUUUUUGCUGUUUUCUGAUAGAUGACCUGUUCCAGUACCAAUUUGCGGCGUGUUGCUUCAUGUAUUUUGAACGAGUUGUGUAAUUGUUGUAGAAAUACCUGAUGAACUAAUGUAUG
rnacentral:misc_RNA from 1 species